UGAUGAUAUUAAGGGUAAUUUCUAAGCAUACCCUUAAAUCUUUCCAAAACUUGGUAAAGAUUUUCUCCUUCUUUCUGCAUGAAACUCAGUAUCUCACUUCUCAAAUA
rfam:Capsicum annuum cultivar Zunla-1 chromosome 7, whole genome shotgun sequence